AUUGAACGCUGGCGGCAGGCCUAACACAUGCAAGUCGAGCGGUUGAGGGGAGCUUGCUCCUUGAUUUAGCGGCGGACGGGUGAGUAAUGCCUAGGAAUCUGCCUGGUAGUGGGGGAUAACGUCCGGAAACGGGAGCUAAUACCGCAUAUGUCCUACGGGAGAAAGCAGGGGACCUUAGGGCCUUGCGCUAUCAGAUGAGCCUAGGUCGGAUUAGCUAGUUGGUGAGGUAAUGGCUCACCAAGGCGACGAUCCGUAACUGGUCUGAGAGGAUGAUCAGUCACACUGGAACUGAGACACGGUCCAGACUCCUACGGUAGGCAGCAGUGGGGAAUAUUGGACAAUGGGCGAAAGCCUGAUCCAGCCAUUCCGCGUGUGUGAAGAAGGUCUUCGGAUUGUAAAGCACUUUAAGUUGGGAGGAAGGGCAGUAAGUUAAUACCUUGCUGUUUUGACGUUACCGACAGAAUAAGCACCGGCUAACUUCGUGCCAGCAGCCGCCGUAA
rnacentral:rRNA from 1 species